rnacentral:rRNA from 1 species
GGUUAAGUGACUAAGCGUAUACGGUGGAUGCCUUGGCAGUUAGAGGCGAUGAAGGACGUGUAAGUCUGCGAAAAGCUGUGGUGAGCCGACAAAAUGCAUUUGAGCCACAGAUGUCCGAAUGGGGAAACCCACCUAUUUAUAGGUAUCGUUACAUGAAUAUAUAGUGUAACGAGGCGAACGAGGGGAACUGAAACAUCUAAGUACCCUUAGGAAAAGAAAUCAACCGAGAUUCCCCUAGUAGCGGCGAGCGAACGGGGAUUAGCCCUUAAGCAAUUAUGAACGUAGUGGAAGCCUCUGGGAAGUGGCGCGAUACAAGGUGAUAGCCCUGUACACGAAGUGUUUGUUUUUGUGAAAUCGAGUAGGUCGGGACACGUGUUAUCUUGACUGAAUAUGGGGGGACCAUCCUCCAAGGCUAAAUACUCCUAACUGACCGAUAGUGAACCAGUACCGUGAGGGAAAGGCGAAAAGAACCCCUGUGAGGGGAGUGAAAUAGAACCUGAAACCGUAUACGUACAAGCAGUGGGAGCAGACUUGUUCUGUGACUGCGUACCUUUUGUAUAAUGGGUCAGCGACUUAUAUUUAGUAGCAAGGUUAAGCGAAUAGCGGAGCCGUAGC